rnacentral:sRNA from 2 species
CUUCACAGUUUUUCUACAUAAGGCUGUGGCGGACCCGGGACAGGCGCAUUUUUUUGCAGUUCUUGCGCUCUGUCAGUUUACUUACUACAAGUAAUGGGUACUAUGUACGCCGGCCAGUUUCUCUUUCUUGAGAGA